rnacentral:rRNA from 1 species
CGGCCAGACUCCUACGGGAGGCAGCAGUGGGGAGUAUUGCACAAUGGGGGAAACCCUGAUGCAGCGACGCCGCGUGAGCGAUGAAGUAUUUCGGUAUGUAAAGCUCUAUCAGCAGGGAAGAAAAUGACGGUACCUGACUAAGAAGCCCUGGCUAACUACGUGCCAGCAGCCGCGGUAAUACGUAGGGGGCAAGCGUUAUCCGGAUUUACUGGGUGUAAAGGGAGCGUAGACGGUCCUGCAAGCCAGAUGUGAAAGCCCGGGGCUCAACCCCGGGACUGCAUUUGGAACUGUAAGGCUAGAGUGUUGGAGAGGCAGGCGGAAUUCCUAGUGUAGCGGUGAAAUGCGUAGAUAUUAGGAGGAACACCAGUGGCGAAGGCGGCCUGCUGGACCGUGACUGACGUUGAGGCUCGAGAGCGUGGGGAGCAAACAGGAUUAGAUACCCUUGUA